AUUGAACGCUGGCGGCAGGCCUAACACAUGCAAGUCGAACGAGUGGCGGACGGGUGAGUAAUGUCUGGGAAACUGCCUGAUGGAGGGGGUUAUCUACUGGAAACGGUAGCUAAUACCGCAUACCAUCGGAUGUGCCCGGUUGGGAUUAGCUAGUAGGUGGGGUAAAGGCUCACCUAGGCGACGAUCCCUAGCUGGUAUGAGAGGAUGACCAGCCACACUGGGACGGAGACCUGGUCCAGAGUCCCACGGGAGGCAGCAGUGGGGAAUAUUGAACAAUGGGCGCAAGACUGAGGCAGCCAUGCCGCGUGUAUGAAGAAGGCCUUCGGGUUGUAAAGUACUUUCAGCGGGGAGGCGUUACCCGCAGAAGAAGCACCGGCUAACUCCGUGCCAGCAGCCGCGGUAAUUC
rnacentral:rRNA from 1 species